GUGGGGAAUUUUGGACAAUGGGCGCAAGCCUGAUCCAGCCAUGCCGCGUGCAGGAUGAAGGCCUUCGGGUUGUAAACUGCUUUUGUACGGAACGAAACGGCUCUUUCUAAUAAAGAGGGCUAAUGACGGUACCGUAAGAAUAAGCACCGGCUAACUACGUGCCAGCAGCCGCGGUAAUACGUAGGGUGCGAGCGUUAAUCGGAAUUACUGGGCGUAAAGCGUGCGCAGGCGGUGAUGUAAGACAGAUGUGAAAUCCCCGGGCUCAACCUGGGAACUGCAUUUGGGACUGCAUCGCUGGAGUGCGGCAGAGGAGGAUGGAAUUCCGCGUGUAGCAGUGAAAUGCGUAGAUAUGCGGAGGAACACCGAUGGCGAAGGCAAUCCCCUGGGCCUGCACUGACGCUCAUGCACGAAAGCGUGGGGAGCAAACAGGAUUAGAUACCCGAGUAGUCC
rnacentral:rRNA from 1 species